GGGGGGGGGGGGGGAGCUUAAUUUGCUUAGCAAGGUAAUUUGAUUUAUUAUUUUUCAUUUUUUUCUUGUUCUCUUGAAAGAUCUGCAAUAUCUUGUAAUUCGAGCUCUUGGAAUUGGAAUAAAUUCGGCUGUGAAUAGUGAAAUCUGGUGAUCUUCUCCGUGUAAUUAAGGCAGACAAAUCUGGUGAUCUUCUCCGUGUAAUUAAGGCAGACAUAUUGGAAGAAAAAGAUCAAUGUAGAAAAUACCAAUUAGUUCCCAAUUAGUUGGGAUUAAGUUUUGGUCAUGUUAUUAGAAUGUUAAUACUAGAUUCAAUGUUUAGUUUUCUUGGAGUCUUUUAGUCUUGUCUGUGAUUUAUAUUAUAGUAGAAAAAUAUAGAAAAUAUCUCAACUUCUUGUACUUUUUAUUUUUGUUUUAAUAUUAUGUUGGACUAAGAUUAACUUACAUAAAGCAUGAUUCAUAUAGUUGAUCCCAAUUUAUAUGGGGAUUGAGACAUUGUUGAUGUUGUCGUAUGGUUUUCUUUAUUAGCAAGUAAGGUAGUGAGAUUGCUUCUGUUAGAUCCCAACUCAAGUAAUAUAUAUAUAUAUAUAUCAAAAUCAAGUACAUGGAAAGGAAAUACUGUAGUGAAAAAUCCAUGCUUCAAAUAAUUGACGGAGAAGAGAACAGUAACAACAAUGGUGUUACUAUAGCUUGUGAUAGUAAAGUUGUUUGUUCACUACCAAUCUAUUGGGGAACAUGUUAAAUAAACAGUUUUUUGAGGACUUAGUGUAUUUAGCAUAGCAACUUGGUGAAAGGAAUAGUGUUUGAACACUAUAUUUGGACAUGAUAUAUAGAUUAAAGUUACGCCAUUAGGCGGUGCGAUCCCUCAUUCAUAUUUUGGACAUGAUACAUCUAUAUAUUCCAACUUGAGGAGUCCUUUUACGUCUAUUCAAUCUUCUUGGAUUGAGAUUCUUAUGUUGCUAGUAUAUAUAGAUUGUGUAUGGGGAAUAUGGUUAGUGAGGACUUAUGUAGUCGACCUCAAUUUAUUCGGUACUAAAGUUCAAUUCAUCAAUUGUUGUUGUUGCAGAAUUAGACAACUAUGACUUUUUACUGAAGAUGGAGAGCUAGCAAUGAUUUUUCUCUACAAAACUAAGGAAUCAAAAAAACGUUUCGAGUACUGGAAGCAAUACAAUUGCACUUUAGGUUAGCAAGAUAUUGAAGAAGAAUACUGAAGAUAUUGGGACCUUGAUCGUACUCGUUGGAUAAGCUCUUUUUUCUGCCAACCACACUAUGUAGUGGUGUGACAAGGCAAAUAGAGUCCAAGAUCCGUAGUAACCUAACGGCUGUCCAGUUAAGAAGGCAACCUCACUCAUUCUCUUUGUCAAUGGAGGUAAGACAAGAAAUGUGUUGAGGCCCAGAGAGCUGUUGACUAUUGACGAUGCAGCAGGAAGCGAACGAAAGUGAGCUUGUUCUCGAAUCAGCAAACUAGGAAUCGAAGAUUGAAGAUGAUUUCCGACAGACUUGUUUGAGAUUGAUGCAUAAUUGUUGUUGUUGUUGUAAUCCCUGCCCAAAUAUUUUGUUAACUGAGCAUCUCUUGCUUGUGUAUUGCAGAAUUUCAAGAUGAACUGUUGGGGGAUGUCGAGCAUUUCAUAUUAACGAUAUGAAGAAAGGCAGCUAGAGCCGAAUGCAUGAGUUGACACCUGAAUUUGAGUGCAACAUCUACAUCCCUAUUAUGGAUUGAACCGGGCUGCAGUCUUUCAGAAACAGUCUCUCUACCUCCGUAAGGUAGGAUCAGCAUGGAAAUGAGCUGUGUAAAGCGUGAAUCCAAUUUUUAUCCAGCCUCAUGCGCGUACCUGACACUGAUGGUAAAUCAAAAUAAAAAAGCAUGGAAACUGAAGUGCCUCAUUGGGUGUGCCACCACGGGAUCAUGUUCAACCCGAUUCAAACAGUAGUAUUAAUUACGAGCUUAAAUAGAGCAACAUGAACUAGGAUGAUCUAUAUAGUCGAUUUUAAUUUGUUGUAUUCAGUUCAUCAUUUGUUGAGGUAAUUCAUCAAGUUGUACGAAAAUAGUCAGAGGGCUCAAUUUCAAGAAUAUGGUUGCAGUUGGGAUA